rnacentral:lncRNA from 7 species
CUUCGAGAAUCCCCCAUUUAAGCCAAAAAUCAACGUUUUCUCUUCGCAAAUCCCCCAUUUAACUGAAAUCACGCGUUUU